rnacentral:ncRNA from 1 species
AGAUAGACGAUGAAGAGAUGAGUAGUAACAAGUUAGCUUAAGAGAGGUCACGUUGGGUGAGAGUGACUGCAAACGCGUUACGAAUAUGGUCUUGGAGUAAACUUAAGUUGAGUCGCUGAUGAAACUUAAGUGGUGGUGCCCAUUACCGCACAAGAGUACGAUUUGUACUCGUGAAGCUACUUGGCGUGAGUCGGGUAGAAAUUAAGGUGGUGCCGCGUGAUAGACGUCCUUGGA